rnacentral:rRNA from 1 species
UAGGGAAUCUUCGGCAAUGGGGGGAACCCUGACCGAGCAACGCCGCGUGAGUGAAGAAGGUUUUCGGAUCGUAAAGCUCUGUUGUUAAGGAAGAACGAGUGUGAGAAUGGAAAGUUCAUACUGUGACGGUACUUAACCAGAAAGGGACGGCUAACUACGUGCCAGCAGCCGCGGUAAUACGUAGGUCCCGAGCGUUGUCCGGAUUUAUUGGGCGUAAAGCGAGCGCAGGCGGUUAGAUAAGUCUGAAGUUAAAGGCAGUGGCUCAACCAUUGUAGGCUUUGGAAACUGUUUAACUUGAGUGCAGAAGGGGAGAGUGGAAUUCCAUGUGUAGCGGUGAAAUGCGUAGAUAUAUGGAGGAACACCAGUGGCGAAGGCGACUCUCUGGUCUGUAACUGACGCUGAGGUUCGAAAGCGUGGGUAGCAAACAGG